rnacentral:rRNA from 1 species
CCUACGGGAGGCAGCAGUGGGGAAUAUUGCACAAUGGGCGCAAGCCUGAUGCAGCCAUGCCGCGUGUAUGAAGAAGGCCUUCGGGUUGUAAAGUACUUUCAGCAGUGAGGAAGGGGGUGUCGUUAAUAGCGGCAUCUCUUGACGUUAGCUGCAGAAGAAGCACCGGCUAACUCCGUGCCAGCAGCCGCGGUAAU